ACUUUAGGGUAGGCACCCAGUGUUAUAAACGUCUGAAUGUUAUUAUAGAUAGGCACUUUAUAGGUUAGAAAAGUAGAUGUUUGUUUGGUAAGAAUUUGGUGGUUGAUAUACGUUCUACACGGGUAUUAGAGUAGAUAGGUCAAGGUCGGAGACCAGUAAUGUUGUUUUUAAUCUUCACAUAUACGCUUUUGGCUAUAUUUAGAGGAUAAAACUUACCGGAAUGGUAGGUCAUCAAUCAUCUAUGAAUCGUCGCAUUUAGCGCAUCCAUUUUUCGUUCCUGCAUUGUGCUGGGACAUAAAUACUUUGUUUUCUUUGGAGAUCACACAUUUCACCAGGGAAGUACAUUUGUACAUGGUUAUACUACAUAUAAAUGGCUUUAACUUGGUAAAACGGGUUGAAACAGUGUUGUUUUCUGUCGUCAUAAACAUUGACGUCCGUCAAUGACAGUUGGUUUGUUGUCUGUGGUUUGGCACAAACAAUCAGUCAUACAUAAAGAGUAUUUAUGAAUAAACAUUUAGUAUGUGUUCUUUUAUAUUUUGCAAUUCGUAGUUAUAAAUAAUGUCCUUAUUUUUAGCUUUCGAAAUUAGUAAUUCUUUUUAUUUUUGGUGACUUCGGUUUUCUGUAAAUUGGAUCCGGUCAGUUGCGAUGUCAUUGAAUGGGAGGUUUUCCAUUCACCACUUUGUCUGUGGCUUUUGCCAUUUGAUUUUUCGCUUGAUCACUGGGAUAUUCCGUGACAAGAUGUAAGACGUAAUUUCGACAUCAGGUCGGCAAUUAAUUCAUGGGGUAUGUAUUUUAUUUAAAGAUUGUAUUUCCUAAAACUCGGUUAAAUUCGGUGUUCAAUGUUUUAAUCGUUGAUAUAUUUUGUUCCAGCUUGGCCCAAAAUAUGAUUAACCUAGCUUCCUAUGCGCCGGUAAUGGCGGCAUAACCUUUUCACCUCUUUCAAACCAACUUGCAAUCCCUUGACAAAGAUGAGACAUCAUUUUGUUUCACCGCGUGCGCAUACGUCGCCACGUCUGGUGUCUAAUAUAAGGGACUCGGCCUAGAAACCGGUAAGGAUUUUUUUAAUCUCUUAUUUCCGCAAGCUAAAUCGCGCGUUGUCCCAAUUAAAUAUAAAUAUAACUUUUUAUAACAUAACCUCUCUAAAACCUAGAACAUUCUCUUUGUUUCUAGGGUCCUUUUGGCUAGGCCUGUCCUUUGGCUAGGCCUACUUCUUGCCUUGGCUUGGCCCUUGGCUUGCCUUCUUGGUCCCUUAUUGGCCCUAUGGCUUUUGGAAGAUCUAGGGUGGUGUCGCACCAUGCUAGAGGGGAAGCCGUCUUCUCCACUUAAUUUUUGGACUCGAGGUGAAGUGUUUAUUCGAUAAAACUGUGAGUUAAAAACUUAUAUUUACAUUAGUGACUGUGUUCCUUUGCUGGAAAGGAUAAACAAUAUUUAAGUCUGAAUUUCUUUUUAACGUGAACUUUCUACAUGGUAAAUUCUAUUAUUAAUAUGAAACCUGCAAUUCCUAUGUAGGAUUUUGUGUGUAUUACAGGCCCAAAUAUGCCUGAGAUGUACUUAAGUUAAAUUUAAUUAGUAAUAGUUACGGUACGUAAUUUAAAUGUUAAGUCUCGAGGCCGCAGCAGGUCUUAUUGUGAUGUAAAGUGAAUAAAAGUAUUUAGUAAAUAAA